rnacentral:lncRNA from 1 species
UUAAUUGUCAUGUCAGUCUUUGUUUAACAAGCACUUUGUCUAAGUCUUUGUUCACAUGUGGAUAUCAGAAAUCUCAGCAAAGAUUUUUCGUAACAAAACAUAUUUUUAAAAUCCGAAUUGAUACACAAUAUUCAAAAAGUACUUGACGCAAAAAAGCAAACAAAAGACUGAAAUUUCAAAUUAUUCAAAAAGUAUCAUUGUCGAUGACGGUAGGUACUAGGUAAGGUCCACCAAUUGGAUCUGGGUUUUGGAAAUAUUCCGAUGCGGCGAUGGUGAGGUUGAAGGUGGUGGUGGGAUUUGGACAAAAAUAAAAAUAAAAAUAAAAAUAGUGUUUGUUGGAUUAAUUAAGAACAUCUAUAAUUAUGUUUUUUAUUUUUAUUUUUAGCUAAAAACACUUGAACCCUAUUGGAUUAGUUUAGUUUUGAUUUGGUUUUGGGACUGUCGAUCCG